GAUGCUUGAAGAAAAUCUUCAUGCAAUUAAAUAGAUGUCAAGGGCUUUUUGGCACAGGAAUAGAAUUCCAAUUUUUCUCCCAUCCUUUGUUUUCGUCCCUCUUCUCUAUAUAAUUUCUCCCAUCUCAAAAACCCCUGUAUCAGUGAGUGUUGAAGGGUGAAUCACUGAGAUUUCGUUGAUAAAGAUCCUUGAGUUGUAAUAGUGUAAAGAGUUCGAGAACAAGACUGCAAAUGGGUGCUCUUUCUGUGGAAUUAGCGUUUGAGGAUUGAGCCUGGGAUAAUAAGCUACAAGAAGCUUGCGGCAGUGAAGCUGGAGACAGAAAGUUAGUAUUCGCUUUGUCGUCCUUAUAUAUGUAUAUAUCAUGGCAUAAUUAACAGAUGAACUUGAGAGUAUUUCAGAGACACUAUUCAUGUUUAGCUUUUUAAAAAAAAAUUAUGUACUCAAAUGCCAUUGUAAAUGAAUGUUAGUUUGCAAAACACCUAUUUUAUUAGUGGAAGUAUUAUCGAAGUAUUUCGGUUCA